UUUAAAAGGUAGAUUUUCCUUUCAUGGUUACCUGUUUGCUGGUUAAUCAUAAAGGAAAAUCCACGUUUUCAG
rfam:Heterocephalus glaber contig273937, whole genome shotgun sequence.